AGAGUUUGAUCAUGGCUCAGAAUCAACGCUGGCGGCGUGCCUAACACAUGCAAGUCGAACGCGAAAGGGGCUUCGGUCCUGAGUAGAGUGGCGAACGGGUGAGUAACACGUGGGUGAUCUACCUUCGAGUGGGGGAUAACGUCCCGAAAGGGACGCUAAUACCGCAUGACGUUCUGGGUUUAAAGACCUGGAAACCAAAGCCGGGGACCGCAAGGCCUGGCGCUUGGAGAGGAGCCCGCGUCCGAUUAGCUAGUUGGCGGGGUAAUGGCCCACCAAGGCGACGAUCGGUAGCCGGCCUGAGAGGGCGGACGGCCACACUGGAACUGAGACACGGUCCAGACUCCUACGGGAGGCAGCAGUGGGGAAUUGUUCACAAUGGGCGCAAGCCUGAUGACGCAACGCCGCGUGGGGGAUGAAGGUCUUCGGAUCGUAAACCCCUGUCGAACGGGAAGAAAGACCCGGGAGCUAAUCAUCCUGGGAGUGACGGUACCGUUAAAGGAAGCCACGGCUAACUCUGUGCCAGCAGCCGCGGUA
rnacentral:rRNA from 1 species